rnacentral:rRNA from 2 species
CUUGCUUUUUAAGUUAGCGGCGGACGGGUGAGUAACACGUGGGCAACCUGCCUGUAAGACUGGGAUAACUUCGGGAAACCGGAGCUAAUACCGGAUAAUCCUUUCCUACUCAUGUAGGAAAGCUGAAAGACGGUUUACGCUGUCACUUACAGAUGGGCCCGCGGCGCAUUAGCUAGUUGGUGAGGUAACGGCUCACCAAGGCGACGAUGCGUAGCCGACCUGAGAGGGUGAUCGGCCACACUGGGACUGAGACACGGCCCAGACUCCUACGGGAGGCAGCAGUAGGGAAUCUUCCGCAAUGGACGAAAGUCUGACGGAGCAACGCCGCGUGAGUGAUGAAGGUUUUCGGAUCGUAAAACUCUGUUGUUAGGGAAGAACAAGUACGAGAGUAACUGCUCGUACCUUGACGGUACCUAACCAGAAAGCCACGGCUAACUACGUGCCAGCAGCCGCGGUAAUACGUAGGUGGCAAGCGUUGUCCGGAAUUAUUGGGCGUAAAGCGCGCGCAGGCGGUCCUUUAAGUCUGAUGUGAAAGCCCACGGCUCAACCGUGGAGGGUCAUUGGAAACUGGGGGACUUGAGUGCAGAAGAGAAGAGUGGAAUUCCACGUGUAGCGGUGAAAUGCGUAGAGAUGUGGAGGAACACCAGUGGCGAA